rnacentral:rRNA from 1 species
GAUCAGAGGGGGGUUAAGAUGGGAGUUUGGGAGUGAGAUUGAUUUGCCGGUGCAGAAUCCGGCUUUUUUUAGUAAGACGGAAAGACCCCGAGAGCUUAGGUUUAUUCUUUUAUCUGGGGCGGAGGCGUAUAGAUCAUGCGUUUUUUGAACCUAAGGGUUUAAAGGAUGAAGUUACCUCGGGGAUAACUAGGUAAGAAGCAAGGAGAGGUCAUAUUGAUUUGCUUGGUUGCCAUCUCGAUGUUGACUUGGGGUGUACUGAGGGGGUGCAGCAGUUUUCUCAGAUGGUCUGUUCGACCGUUAUUCCUCUCAUGAGCUGA